UUGCAGGUUUGCGGCAGGGUUUGGUUUGUGUCACCAGUGGUCAUCGUGCGAGAGGCGGGAUACACCCUGGACAGGCUUUUUGCUCACAUUUGCAGUACACAACCAAAGCGACGGAGAUCAUUGACUAAAGCUCAAGUUUCCUGUGUACAGUGCCUUAUUUUGCAAAGCCAUCUUCAGCCAUCCUUUUGACUGUGUAAUGUACAUUCGGAGUUGAAUUACCUCAUAUGUGUAAUACAAAAAGUAAAAUUAUGUUAAA